CGGUAGCUAAGUGCGGAAAAGAUAAGUGCUGAAAGCAUCUAAGCACGAAACUUGCCCCGAGAUGAGUUCUCCCUGACUCCUUGAGAGUCCUGAAGGGACGUUGAAGACGACGACGUUGAUAGGCCGGAUGUGUAAGCGCAGCGAUGCGUUGAGCUAACCGGUACUAAUGACCCGUGAGGCUUAACCUUACAACGCCAGAGGCGUUUUG
rnacentral:rRNA from 1 species